GCCGCGGUGGCACAGUCUGGUUACUGCGUGAGAUUGCUAAUCUCAUUUCCUUCGGGAUUCCCCGGUUCAAAUCCGGGCCGCGGCG
rnacentral:tRNA from 1 species